GCUGGUGCGGUGGUGCACGCCUGUAGUCCUAGCUACUCCGGAGGCUGAGACAGGACGAUCGCUUGAGUCCAGUUCUGGGCUGUAAUGCGCCAUGCUGAUCGGGUGUCCGCACCAAGUUUGGCAUCAAUAUGGUGACCUCUCUGGAGCAGGGGACCACCAGGUUGCCUAAGGAGGUGUGAACCGGCCCAGGUCGGAAAAGGAGCAGGUCAAAACUCCCGUGUUGAACAGUAAUGGGAUCGCACCUGUGAACGGCAGUAACAAUAGAGACUAGCCACUGCUCGACAGCCUGGGCAACACAGCGAGACGCCGUCUCU
rnacentral:SRP_RNA from 1 species